rnacentral:rRNA from 1 species
UACGUAGGGUGCAAGCGUUGUCCGGAAUUAUUGGGCGUAAAGAGCUCGUAGGCGGUCUGUCGCGUCUGCUGUGAAAACUCGGGGCUUAACCCCGGGCCUGCAGUGGGUACGGGCAGACUAGAGUGCGGUAGGGGAGACUGGAAUUCCUGGUGUAGCGGUGAAAUGCGCAGAUAUCAGGGGGAACACCGGUGGCGAAGGCGGGUCUCUGGGCCGUAACUGACGCUGAGGAGCGAAAGCGUGGGAGCGAACAGG